UAUUUGUAUAAUAAUUCAAGCUUAUUUGCAGGAAACAAACAAGAAUAAAACAAAACUGCUGCAUUCAUAACGCUCACGAUACGUUCUACCGCCAGAUAAUAAAGCCAAGACGAGACGGACGGGUGAAGCUGGUGUAUUCAGCAUUUAUUGUCUGUCAUUUUAAAAACGGCUUGAGGACAAUCAAAAUAUAAAUACAUUUGCCCAGACACACACGCAGACACACGCAGACACACAAUUGGAACUCAUUAACAACUUUCAUCCACACGUUAAUACCCAGAGAGCUUGAUUUGACCUCCAGGGGUCAGGAGGGACCCUCAGUGGGUCGGCGCUCCCUUCAGUCCACCAGUGAGCAGAGACGAGCCUCGUGUCGACAUUUUGGUUUAAAUCUUAAAAUUUCUCUUUUUAAAGUUCCUAAACUGUCAGUGAAUAAUCUGUUGGUGAGUUCGUAGUUAGGACGUCUGCUCCGUCUCCUGGGUGAAAGUCGUGCGUUUGUUGCUUCCUUAUUUCCCGUUAAGUAGCUCAGCGUAACAAACGUCUUCUUCCAGCUCGGUCAGAAAAAACCCAACUGAAAUCCUCCUCGAACGCACCAAUACUUCCAGGGCUGUAAGGAAAGAGCGUUUGAAGUAGUUUCCGUCUGUAAAUCACCUUUUUGUGGACAGAUUUAAAAUAAAAACAUUCUGCUCUGUAGUUACGAACCUUCCAAGCAAAAGAAAAAAAAAAACCACAACCUUUUAACCAACAACACCCGCAGGGAAUAAAGAACAGACCGACAUCUGGCUCUCACGCGCCGAGUCGGGAAUCAAACCGACGUCUUCUUGUGGUCGGGAGCUUCCUGCCCCGCCCCUCACACGCGCAAAUGGUCACGCUAGAUGGUCGUGCAACCCGUGGAAUGAAGCACGUGGAAGAAUACAAGUCCCCCCCCCCAUAACCUUCGUAUUAUUAACCCGGGGAAAGGGGGCGGGUCUGUCGGGGAGCUUCCCUAAAGCCGGGUUCUUUUUCCGGAGCCCAUUACAGGACCGGACGCCGCGGCCCGGGACUCGUCCUCGUGGUGAAACGCCGCAGAGCUCCACAAAUAGAAGACGGAGACACGUCGUCGCCGCCGCCGAUUAACGUCAGUUUGUCCCCAUUCACGCGCUAACGGGGCAGAACCCGCCGAUUAAAGACGCUACGACGCGCAAACACGGCAGCCAAUCAGAGCUCAGAGGGUCGCCAUGCAGGAAGUGGGCGACGUCUUGGCACAAUAACAUAUGUAUAUAUAUAAGAAACGUCUAACUUUAAAUGAAGGAAUCUGUCGCGUGGACGUCUCGGCCGACUGAAGGAACUUUUUACGAGGGGACUGAAAUCUGUAAGUGGCGCUAAUUCGGCGGUUUCUUUUCGGUCAUUUUGAGACGUCUUUAAAUAAAGGAACAGGUCAUCCAGGAAUCAUUCUUUUCUCCCGUGCAGAGAAGAAAACCGCACAGGAGAACGCGAGUCUCUGUCGGGUCGAAUAUCAGCUUCAGGUUACUGGAUUUAAAAGGUUAAAAACGAUCCGUCUCUCUCGCCUCAAAUCAGCGGAGAGCAAAGAAAAGAAGAAGAAAAACGCCCGCAGGUUUUCCUCUCCAGUGGUUUUUAUCCACAACCACAAAAAAAAAAAGGAAUUAAAAAAAUGUCUGCUUUGAAUCGGCUCUCUGUACGUCUGUCACUCGUCGUCAGAAGGACAAACCCGGCCUCUUCUUUCGGGGGGGGGGGGGGGGGGGGGGGCCC
ensembl:lncRNA